rnacentral:tRNA from 1 species
GGCGGUGUGGCCGAGGGGUGAGGCAAGGGCCUGCAAAGCCCUGCACACGGGUUCAAAUCCCGUCGCCGCCU